rnacentral:rRNA from 1 species
UACAGAGGAUGCAAGCGUUAUCCGGAAUGAUUGGGCGUAAAGCGUCCGCAGGUGGUUUUGUAAGUCUGCUGUUAAAGCGUUAGGCUCAACCUAAUAAGGGCAGUGGAAACUAUGAGACUAGAGUAUGUUAGGGGUAGAGGGAAUUCCCAGUGUAGCGGUGAAAUGCGUAGAGAUUGGGAAGAACACCGGUGGCGAAAGCGCUCUGCUAGGACAAUACUGACACUGAGGGACGAUAGCUAGGGGAGCGAAUGGG